rfam:Firmicutes bacterium CAG:137 genomic scaffold, scf199
ACUACAUAGCUGGGGAGUUUGUAUGACAGGCUGAGAGGAAGGUGCGACCUUCGACCCAUAAACCUGAUUUGGAUCAUGCCAACGUAGGGAGACGAAAGACGUAAGAAA